rnacentral:rRNA from 1 species
CUACGGGAGGCUCCAGUGAGGAAUAUUGCACAAUGGGGGGAACCCUGAUGCAGCAACGCCGCGUGGAGGAUGACGCAUUUCGGUGUGUAAACUCCUUUUAUAUGUCAAGAAAAUGACGGUAGCAUAUGAAUAAGCACCGGCUAACUCCGUGCCAGCAGCCGCGGUAAUACGGAGGGUGCAAGCGUUACUCGGAAUCACUGGGCGUAAAGGACGCGUAGGCGGGUUGGAAAGUCAGGUGUGAAAGCCUACAGCUUAACUGUAGAACUGCACUUGAAACUUCUAAUAUAGAGUAUGGAGAGGGGGAGAUGGAAUUAGUGGUGUAGGGGUAAAAUCCGUAGAUAUCACUAGGAAUACCUAAAGCGAAGGCGAUCUCCUGGAACAUUACUGACGCUAAGGCGUGAAAGCGUGGGGAGCAAACAGGAUUAGAUACCCUAGUAGUC